GACGAACGCUGGCGGCGUGCUUAACACAUGCAAGUCGAACGGAGUGGCGAACGGGUGAGUAACACGUGGGUGAUCUGCCUUGCACGUCGGGAUAAGCUUGGGAAACUGGGUCUAAUACCGGAUAGUGCAAGAUGAGCUCGCGGCCUAUAAGCUUGUUGGUGGGGUAAUGGCCUACACGGGCGUCGACGGGUAGCCGGCCUGAGAGGGUGUACGGCAACCUUGGUCCUGCGAUACGUCCCAGAGUCCUACGGGAGGCAGCGGUCGGGAAUCUUGUACAAUGGUCGGAAGCCUAAGGCAGCGACGCCGGGUUGGUGAUGAAGGCCCUCGGGUUGUAAACUCCUUUCGACAGGGACGCGGGACCUGCAUAAGAAGCACCGGCUAACUCCGUGCCAGCCGCCGCGGUAAUAC
rnacentral:rRNA from 1 species